CCCCAAGUGGUCGAGUUGGUUAAGACGCCCGCACGGAAUGAAGGAGGUCCCAGGUUCGAACCCUGGCGUGGGGU
rfam:Cerapachys biroi unplaced genomic scaffold scaffold354, whole genome shotgun sequence.